GGUUAAGUUACAAAGGGCGCACGGUGGAUGCCUUGGCACUAGGAGCCGAUGAAGGACGGAACUAAUACCGAUAUGCUUCGGGGAGCUAUAAGUAAGCUUUGAUCCGGAGAUUUCCGAAUGGGGGAACCCAGUACACAUCAGUGUAUUGCUUGUCAGUGAAUACAUAGCUGGCCGGCGGCAGACGCGGGGAACUGAAACAUCUCAGUACCCGCAGGAAGAGAAAGAAAACUCGAUUCCCAUAGUAGCGGCGAGCGAAGUGGGAAGAGCCCAAACCGAGAAGCUUGCUUYUCKSGGKKKUGUAGGACUGGACAUUGGAGUUUACCAAAGUCCGACGUAGUCGAAGUCAGCUGGAAAGCUGCGCCACAGAAGGUGAAAGCCCUGGUA
rnacentral:rRNA from 2 species